rnacentral:lncRNA from 12 species
CUGAAAGACAAUUUUGAUUGAUAAAAUAAAUAAUACUCCAGGAACACAAACAGUUAAACAUAGGAAAUACGCAAAAUGAUCAGAUGUACCUUCACAGUUAGAAGAAACUUCAAUCCACUCACAUGGAUCUCCUGACAGCAGCACAUCUGAGGCACUGUAUUUAGAUGAACAGCUGAACAUUCCUCAGUGAAGGAGCGACCUCUGCUGGAGCUCCUGAGUCACAGCGCGUGCACGGCGGCUCUGACCAGAGGCUCUUGACAGCCCAAGGCGCUGCCGACCAACGUCACUCCGAGCGAUACAUGGACAAAGGAGGACAAAUAAGACAAAGUCACAUGAGGACGUGUGUCUGCCUGUUCUACACCCAUUCUCUGAUCCAGUAGGGUGCAGCACAUCCAUCACCCUGAACCCCAGCAGGCCUGCCACGCUGUCUCACUCCCCUGAUUCUGCCUCUUCUCCUCCUGCACGCACCCCUCAGCCCUCCCUGGAGACCCCAGGGCCCUUCAUCCUCAAUGGACAGCAGGGAGAGGGAUGCAGGACCCUCGCCCAGGAGAUCUGCCUCACUCCUGGGAACCUGAGGGAGGAUCC